GAUGAACGCUGGCGGCGUGCUUAACACAUGCAAGUCGAACGGUGAAAGCGGAGCUUGCUCUGCUGGAUCAGUGGCGAACGGGUGAGUAACACGUGAGCAAUCUGCCCUUGACUCUGGGAUAAGCGCUGGAAACGGCGUCUAAUACCGGAUACGAGCUGCGAAGGCAUCUUCAGCAGCUGGAAAGAACUUCGGUCAAGGAUGAGCUCGCGGCCUAUCAGCUUGUUGGUGAGGUAACGGCUCACAAAGGCGUCGACGGGUAGCCGGCCUGAGAGGGUGACCGGCCACACUGGGACUGAGACACGGCCCAGACUCCUACGGGAGGCAGCAGUGGGGAAUAUUGCACAAUGGGCGCAAGCCUGAUGCAGCAACGCCGCGUGAGGGACGACGGCCUUCGGGUUGUAAACCUCUUUUAGCAGGGAAGAAGCGAAAGUGACGGUACCUGCAGAAAAGCACCGGCUAACUACGUGCCAGCAGCCGCUGUAA
rnacentral:rRNA from 1 species